rnacentral:snoRNA from 1 species
AUCCCAGAUAAACUUUCUUGGUUUUUAUCUGAUUCAUGGGAGGCCUACAUUAACGCUGGAAGUUUCGCUGAUAACACCUCUUGAAUUCUAGGAGGUGUUUUACUAGUAGCUUGCCACACAUGU